rnacentral:rRNA from 1 species
GGACCCGCACAAGCGGUGGAGCAUGUGGUUUAAUUCGAUGCAACGCGAAAAACCUUACCUACACUUGACAUACUUCGAAUUUUCUAGAGAUAGAUUAGUGCCUUCGGGAACGGAGAUACAGGUGCUGCAUGGCUGUCGUCAGCUCGUGUCGUGAGAUGUUGGGUUAAGUCCUAUAACGAGCGCAACCCUUACCCUUAUUUGCCAGCGGUUAGGCCGGGAACUAUAAGGGAACUGCCGGUAAUAAGCCGGAGGAAGGUGGGGACGACGUCAAGUCAUCAUGGCCCUUACGUGUAGGGCUACACACGUGCUACAAUGGGAGAUACAGACGGUUGCUAAAGCGCGAGCUGGAGCCAAUCCGACAAAGUCUCUCGUAGUCCGAAUUGCAGUCUGGAACUCGACUGCAUGAAGCCGGAAUCGCUAGUAAUCG